UCCCCCGUGGCGCAAUUGGCUAGCGCGUUCGACUGUUAAUCGAGAGGUUGGUGGUUCGAGCCCACCCGGAGGAG
rnacentral:tRNA from 3 species